rnacentral:rRNA from 1 species
CAAGUCGAACGCACCCUUCGGGGUGAGUGGCGCACGGCUGAGUAACACGUGGGAAUCUGUCGUCCAGUGGGGGAUAACGCAUCGAAAGAUACGCUAAUCCCGCAUACGGUCCGAAAGGAAGAAAGGCGCAAGUCGCUGGAUGAGGAGCCUGCGGCCCAUCAGGUAGUUGGAGAGGUAAUGGCUCACCAAGCCAAUGACGGGUAGCUGGUCUGUGAGGACAACCAGCCAGACUGGGACUGAGAACGGCCCAGACUCCUACGGGAGGCAGCAGUAAGGAAUUUUCGUCAAUGGGGGAAACCCUGAACGAGCAACGCCGCGUGGAGGAUGACGGUUUUCGGAUUGUAAACUCCUUUUGUAUGGGACGAUAAUGACGGUACCAUACGAAUAAGCCCCGGCUAACUCUGUGCCAGCAGCCGCGGUAAUACAGAGGGGGCAAGCGUUGUCCGGAGUUACUGGGCGUAAAGCGCACGCAGGCGGUUGUGCAAGUGGGAUGUGAAACCACCGUGCUUAACACGGUGACGCCAUGCCAAACUGCACGACUCGAGUGGUGGAGAGGUUGUUCGAAUUGCCGGUGUAGUGGUGAAAUGCGUAGAGAUCGGCAGGAAGACCAAGGGCGAAAGCAGACAACUGGCCACCAACUGACGCUCAGGUGCGAAAGCGUGGGGAGCGAACUGGAUUAGAUACCAGGUAGUCCACGCUGUAAACGAUGUAUGCUCGGUAUUUGUGCUGUUACGGCAUGGGUACCUCAGGAAACCCGGUAAGCAUACCGCCUGGGAAGUACGAACGCAAGUUUAAAACUCAAAGGAAUUGACGG